rnacentral:rRNA from 1 species
UACGUAGGGUGCAAGCGUUAAUCGGAAUUACUGGGCGUAAAGCGUGCGCAGGCGGCUUUGCAAGACAGAUGUGAAAUCCCCGGGCUUAACCUGGGAACUGCGUUUCUAACUGGCAGGCUUGAGUGUGGCAGAGGGGGGUGGAAUUCCACGUGUAGCAGUGAAAUGCGUAGAUAUCUGAAGGAACAUCAGUGGCGAAAGCGACUUCCUGGACCAAUACUGACGCUCAUGUGCGAAAGCGUGGGGAGCAAACAGGG